rnacentral:rRNA from 1 species
AUUCCAGCUCCAAUAGCGUAUAUUAAAGUUGUUGCAGUUAAAAAGCUCGUAGUUGGACUUCUGGGCCGUUUUGUUGGUCUGCCGCAAGGCUGUACUAGCGGGAUGGCCCAUCCUCUCGAAGGCUGGAGGUGCUCUUAACUGGGUGCUUUCAGAACUCGGGAUCUUUACUUUGAAAAAAUUAGAGUGUUCAAAGCAGGCUUACGCUUGAAUACAUUAGCAUGGAAUAAUGGAAUAGGACUUUGGUUCUAUUUUGUUGGUUUCUAGAACUGAAGUAAUGAUUAAUAGGGAUAGUUGGGGGCAUUAGUAUUUAAUUGUCAGAGGUGAAAUUCUUGGAUUUAUGAAAGACUAACUUCUGCGAAAGCAUUUGCCAAGGAUGUUUUCAUUG